rnacentral:rRNA from 1 species
GACGAACGCUGGCGGCGUGCUUAACACAUGCAAGUCGAACGGAAAGGCCCUUCGGGGUACUCGAGUGGCGAACGGGUGAGUAACACGUGGGUGAUCUGCCCUGCACUUUGGGAUAAGCCUGGGAAACUGGGUCUAAUACCGGAUAGGACUACGGCCUGCAUGGGUUGUGGUGGAAAGCUUUUGCGGUGUGGGAUGGGCCCGCGGCCUAUCAGCUUGUUGGUGGGGUGAUGGCCUACCAAGGCGACGACGGGUAGCCGGCCUGAGAGGGUGACCGGCCACACUGGGACUGAGAUACGGCCCAGACUCCUACGGGAGGCAGCAGUGGGGAAUAUUGCACAAUGGGCGCAAGCCUGAUGCAGCGACGCCGCGU